rnacentral:lncRNA from 1 species
AAGAAAAGAUGCAAAGGCUCGAAAUUGUUUGUAGGACAAGAUCUAACCCUAAUUUUUUUUUUGGCUUUUUCGUGGACUAUAGGAAUAAAUCAGAUGCAACUAAUCUAGGAAAACAGUAAGAUCUCACCGAGAAACCUGAAAUCUGAUACCACUUGAUAGGGGUAAAGGUGCCCGAUCUUUCGAUGAGAAGAUAGCUAUCGAUUUUUGGGUGGAUGUCGACGUUGACGAACCGGCUACAAACGUGCGAGACGUUGCGCCUCAACGAUCGCUACACCAACUUCCGAGGUUAUUGACCACGCCGGAGCUAGAUCAACCUGAUCACGAAGGAUCAAUCCCUGCAUGCAACCGAAGAGCAAGCAAGAAUUAU